UACGUAGGGUGCGAGCGUUGUCCGGAAUUAUUGGGCGUAAAGGGCUCGUAGGCGGUUUGUCGCGUCGGGAGUGAAAUCCACUGGCUUAACUGGUGGCUUGCUUUCGAUACGGGGCAGACUGGAGGUAUGCAGGGGGAGAACGGAAUUCCUGGUGUAGCGGUGAAAUGCGCAGAUAUCAGGAGGAACACCGGUGGCGAAGGCGGUUCUCUGGGCAUGUCCUGACGCUGAGGAGCGAAAGUGUGGGGAGCGAACAGG
rnacentral:rRNA from 1 species